rnacentral:ncRNA from 1 species
AGGAGCCGUAUGAGGUGAAAUUCUCACGUACGGUUCUGUCACUCUAUUGUCGUUCCUUAUGACAAUUGGAGAAGAAUUUCCUUCAACCACAUAUUUAACUUCAAUUUUUUACGUACUUCAUCGAUAUCCAAUUUCAUGGCGAUCGUAGCAAUCAAUUUCAAGAAAGUUAUACUUUCCAAAAUAAUUAUUCCGUCACUUUUGUAUGACUAAUAACUCAUUUCUGACUCCCAA